rnacentral:rRNA from 1 species
GAUGAACGCUGGCGGCGUGCCUAAUACAUGCAAGUCGAGCGAACGGACGAGAAGCUUGCUUCUCUGAUGUUAGCGGCGGACGGGUGAGUAACACGUGGAUAACCUACCUAUAAGACUGGGAUAACUUCGGGAAACCGGAGCUAAUACCGGAUAAUAUUUUGAACCGCAUGGUUCAAAAGUAAAAGACGGUCUUGCUGUCACUUAUAGAUGGAUCCGCGCUGCAUUAGCUAGUUGGUAAGGUAACGGCUUACCAAGGCAACGAUGCAUAGCCGACCUGAGAGGGUGAUCGGCCACACUGGAACUGAGACACGGUCCAGACUCCUACGGGAGGCAGCAGUAGGGAAUCUUCCGCAAUGGGCGAAAGCCUGACGGAGCAACGCCGCGUGAGUGAUGAAGGUCUUCGGAUCGUAAAACUCUGUUAUUAGGGAAGAAUAUAUGUGUAAGUAACUGUGCACAUCUUGACGGUACCUAAUCAGAAAGCCACGGCUAACUACGUGCCAGCAGCCGCGGUAAUACGUAGGUGGCAAGCGUUAUCCGGAAUUAUUGGGCGUAAAGCGCGCGUAGGCGGUUUUUUAGUCUGAUGUGAAAGCCCACGGCUCAACCGUGGAGGGUCAUUGGAAACUGGAAAACUUGAGUGCAGAAGAGGAAAGUGGAAUUCCAUGUGUAGCGGUGAAAUGCGCAGAGAUAUGGAGGAACACCAGUGGCGAAGGCGACUUUCUGGUCUGUAACUGACGCUGAUGUGCGAAAGCGUGGGGAUCAAACAGGAUUAGAUACCCUGGUAGUCCACGCCGUAAACGAUGAGUGCUAAGUGUUAGGGGGUUUCCGCCCCUUAGUGCUGCAGCUAACGCAUUAAGCACUCCGCCUGGGGAGUACGACCGCAAGGUUGAAACUCAAAGGAAUUGACGGGGACCCGCACAAGCGGUGGAGCAUGUGGUUUAAUUCGAAGCAACGCGAAGAACCUUACCAAAUCUUGACAUCCUUUGACAACUCUAGAGAUAGAGCCUUCCCCUUCGGGGGACAAAGUGACAGGUGGUGCAUGGUUGUCGUCAGCUCGUGUCGUGAGAUGUUGGGUUAGGUCCCGCAACGAGCGCAACCCUUAAGCUUAGUUGCCAUCAUUAAGUUGGGCACUCUAAGUUGACUGCCGGUGACAAACCGGAGGAAGGUGGGGAUGACGUCAAAUCAUCAUGCCCCUUAUGAUUUGGGCUACACACGUGCUACAAUGGACAAUACAAAGGGCAGCGAAACCGCGAGGUCAAGCAAAUCCCAUAAAGUUGUUCUCAGUUCGGAUUGUAGUCUGCAACUCGACUACAUGAAGCUGGAAUCGCUAGUAAUCGUAGAUCAGCAUGCUACGGUGAAUACGUUCCCGGGUCU